ensembl:snRNA U2 U2 spliceosomal RNA
GUCUCUUCUCGGCCUUUUGGCUAAGAUCAAGUGUAGUAUCUCUUCUAAAAUAUCAAUUGUGAUAUUAAGCAUCUGAUUUUUAAAAGCAACAACCCAAC